UACGAAGGGUGCAAGCGUUACUCGGAAUUAUUGGGCGUAAAGCGCGUGUAGGCGGCUUGGCAAGUCGGGUGUGAAAUCCCUCAGCUUAACUGAGGAAGUGCGCCCGAAACUGCUUUGCUUGAGUGCCGGAGAGGAUGGCGGAAUUCCCCAAGUAGAGGUGAAAUUCGUAGAUAUGGGGAGGAACACCGGUGGCGAAGGCGGCCAUCUGGACGGUAACUGACGCUGAGACGCGAAAGCGUGGGUAGCAAACAGG
rnacentral:rRNA from 1 species